AUGUACCGAGGAUACCAUGCGCUGGACAACUUAAGGCACCGUGCCCUCCAAGUCAGUGCAGGCUUCGAAGAGGUUUCCAUCAACAACUCAUCUGGCAGCAGCCUAUAUUUAGCCAAGUGCUCUCGAAGUACAAAUGAUAAGGUCACACGCUUCGAGUCACAUGGUGCCUUGGAAAGCUUAGAAAUUGCUAUUGCUAAUAUGUCAGAAUUUAUUGUUCUUCUUGGUGGAUAUGAUUGGAACGGGUUUUACUUAUUUGCCAUUGGAAUGGGAAGAGGAAGCAAGAUCGUCAUCUUAAGUAGACUUAAAACAUUAGCUCGAUUCGGAUUAGUGAAACCUAUUUUUCUAAGUGCAAUGUCUAGCGACGAGUUGAAGUACCUUUUCAAGACACUGGCAUUGAGCGUAGACCCCACAGAACAUCCACGGCUAGUAAAACUAGCAGAUGAAUUUGGCAAGCUGUUGCACAAUGUGCCUGAUACACUUAUCGCAAUAAAUAUACUCGCAAAUGUGUUGAGAAUGAACCUCAAUGUUCAGUAUUGGCUUUGCAUAUUGGACAAAGGUCUAAGAUACAUUAAAAGAAACCUCUCCACAUAUAGUGUGCAACCAAGCAUGCUUUUAGAAGAAGACCAUCCAGUGGACAUAACAGAUUUUGCUUUGCAUCCACGUAGCAUGAUACCUUGUACAUCUAAUUUUUCAAUCAAGAAGGAACAAGUCUAA
rnacentral:rRNA from 1 species